rnacentral:rRNA from 1 species
UACGAAGGGGGCUAGCGUUGCUCGGAAUCACUGGGCGUAAAGCGCACGUAGGCGGAUUGCUAAGUCAGGGGUGAAAUCCUGGAGCUCAACUCCGGAACUGCCUUUGAUACUGGCGAUCUUGAGUCCGGGAGAGGUGAGUGGAACUCCGAGUGUAGAGGUGAAAUUCGUAGAUAUUCGGAAGAACACCAGUGGCGAAGGCGGCUCACUGGCCCGGUACUGACGCUGAUGUGCGAAAGCGUGGGGAGCAAACAGG